ensembl:lncRNA
UAGGGAGAACUGUUGUAGGGGCAGGGAGGACUGUUGUAAGAUUAGGGAGAACUGUUGUAGGGGUAGGGAGUGCUGUUGUAGGGGUAGGGAGGACUGUUGUAGAGGUAGGAAGUAAUGUUGUCGGAGUAGGAUGUACUCUUGUAGGGGUAGGGAGUAGUGUUGUAGGGGUUUGGAGGACUGUUGUAGGGGCAGGGAGCACUGUUGUAGGGGUAGGGAGGACUGUUGUAGGGGUAGGGAGUACUGUUGUAGGGGUAGGGAGGACUGUUGUAGGGGCAGGAAGUACUGUUGUAGGGGUAGGGAGGACUGUUGUAGGGGUAGGGAGGACUGUUGUCAGAGUAGGGAGGACUGUUGUCAGAGUAGGGAGUACUGUUGUAGGGGUAGGGAGGACUGUUGUCAGAUUAGGGAGGACUGUUGUCAGAGUAGGGAGGACUGUUGUAGGGGUAGGAAGUACUGUUGUAGGGGCAGGGAAUAUUGUUGUAGGGGUAGAGAGGACUGUUGUAGGAUUAGGGAGAACUGUUGUAGGGGUAGGGAGUGCUGUUGUAGGGGUAGGGAGGACUGUUGUAGAGGUAGGAAGUAAUGUUGUCAGAGUAGGAUGUACUCUUGUAGGGGUAGGGAGUACAGUUGUAGGGGUAUGGAGGACUGUUGUAGGGGUAGGAAGUACUGUUGUAGGGGUAGGGAGGACUGUUGUAGGGGCAGGGAGGACUGUUGUAAGAUUAGGGAGAACUGUUGUAGGGGCAGGGAGGACUGUUGUAAGAUUAGG